UACGGAGGGAGCUAGCGUUGUUCGGAAUUACUGGGCGUAAAGCGCACGUAGGCGGCUUUGUAAGUUAGAGGUGAAAGCCCGGGGCUCAACUCCGGAACUGCCUUUAAGACUGCAUCGCUUGAAUCCGGGAGAGGUGAGUGGAAUUCCGAGUGUAGAGGUGAAAUUCGUAGAUAUUCGGAAGAACACCAGUGGCGAAGGCGGCUCACUGGACCGGUAUUGACGCUGAGGUGCGAAAGCGCGGGGAGCAAACAGG
rnacentral:rRNA from 1 species